GGAGUCUGUGGCUCAGUGGAAGAACUUCUGCUUUGCAAGCAGAAGGUCCCUGGUUCAACCCCCACGUCUCCA
rnacentral:tRNA from 1 species